rnacentral:rRNA from 1 species
GACGAACGCUGGCGGCGUGCUUAACACAUGCAAGUCGAACUGAAAGGCCCUGCUUGCAGGGUACUCGAGUGGCGAACGGGUGAGUAACACGUGGGUGAUCUGCCCUGCACUUCGGGAUAAGCCUGGGAAACUGGGUCUAAUACCGGAUAGGAGCCAUUUUUAGUGUGAUGGUUGGAAAGUUUUUUCGGUGUAGGAUGAGCUCGCGGCCUAUCAGCUUGUUGGUGGGGUAAUGGCCUACCAAGGCGGCGACGGGUAGCCGGCCUGAGAGGGUGGACGGCCACAUUGGGACUGAGAUACGGCCCAGACUCCUACGGGAGGCAGCAGUGGGGAAUAUUGCACAAUGGGCGCAAGCCUGAUGCAGCGACGCCGCGUGGGGGAUGACGGCCUUCGGGUUGUAAACUCCUUUCGCUAGGGACGAAGCUUUUUGUGACGGUACCUAGAUAAGAAGCACCGGCUAACUACGUG